CAAAGUAUCUUCUGCCCACUGAUGUGAUUGAAUGGCCGCAGUACUCUGACUGUGCUAAGGUAGCGUGAUUCUUGUUUUCUUAAUUAGAAAUCUGUUCAAAGAAUGAAAUGUGGGAUACCUAUUGUUUUAAUAUGAAGUGAACUUAAAUUGCUAGUGAAAAUUCUUGCACAACCCUAAAAGACGAGAAGACCCCAUAAAACUUAAUUUGACCUUUAGUUUACUUUUCUUAAAAUUUAAAUGGGAACUUUUGAGUAUACUAAUAACUUAUUGACCUGUGAUUUUAUUUUUUGAGAAGCUACUUUGGGGAUAACAGGGUGAAAUGUUUAGAGAGUUCUUAUCGAUAAAUAUAGCUACUACCUCGAUGUUGGAUUAUCUUUUCA
rnacentral:rRNA from 1 species